rnacentral:misc_RNA from 1 species
UUUUUAUCUUAUCUUACUUACUCUGCUGAACUCUCUUCACCCCAUCCAACAGACCCUGAAGAGCUCAAAGAUCAAAGCAUCAGGAAGCCAAGAAUUCAAGCGUCUGCAACCCGAGAAUCAAGAAAUUAGCAGCAACCGGGUUUCGACAUGGGCUUGAACCUGUUCCUUCUCCUAGCCAUGGUCGCCACCAACAUCCUCGCCCUCUACCACCUCUCUGCUCCCAUUCUUCAAUCCCCC